rnacentral:pre_miRNA from 1 species
GCACGGCAUGGCACAGCGCUAUAGGCUAUAGCAGUACUCCCUCUUAUAUAAAAUUUUUUUAUAAUUAGUAUUUUCAUUAUUGUUAAAUGAUAAAAUAUAAUUAAUAUUUUAUGCGUGACUUAUCUUUUUAAUUUUUUUCAUAAUUUUUUUAAAUAAGACGGACGGUUAAAUGUUGGACACGGAAAUCAGGGUUUGUCUUUUU